rnacentral:rRNA from 1 species
AUUGAACGCUGGCGGCAGGCCUAACACAUGCAAGUCGAGCGGAUGAAGGGAGCUUGCUCCUGGAUUCAGCGGCGGACGGGUGAGUAAUGCCUAGGAAUCUGCCUGGUAGUGGGGGAUAACGUCCGGAAACGGGCGCUAAUACCGCAUACGUCCUGAGGGAGAAAGUGGGGGAUCUUCGGACCUCACGCUAUCAGAUGAGCCUAGGUCGGAUUAGCUAGUUGGUGGGGUAAAGGCCUACCAAGGCGACGAUCCGUAACUGGUCUGAGAGGAUGAUCAGUCACACUGGAAAUGAGACACGGUCCAGACUCCUACGGGAGGCAGCAGUGGGGAAUAUUGGACAAUGGGCGAAAGCCUGAUCCAGCCAUGCCGCGUGUGUGAAGAAGGUCUUCGGGUUGUAAAGCACUUUAAGUUGGGAGGAAGGGCAGUAAGUUAAUACCUUGCUGUUUUGACGUUACCAACAGAAUAAGCACCGGCUAACUUCGUG